rnacentral:tRNA from 1 species
GGUUUCAUAGUGUAGUGGUUAUCACAUAGGCCUAACACGCAGAAGGUCCUGGGUUCAAAACCCAGUUUAAAUUU